rnacentral:rRNA from 1 species
AUGCAAGUCGAGCGAGAAGGUGUAGCAAUACACUUGUAAAGCGGCGAACGGGUGAGGAAUAUAUGGGUAAUCUACCAUCGAGUGGGGAAUAACCAGCCGAAAGGUUGGCUAAUACCGCGUACGCCUCCGAAUCUUCGGGUUCGGAGGGAAAGCCACACUGUGAGUGCGGCGCUCUUUGAUGAGCUCAUGUCCUAUCAGCUUGUUGGUAGGGUAACGGCCUACCAAGGCUUUGACGGGUAGCUGGUCUGAGAGGACGAUCAGCCACACUGGCACUGCGACACGGGCCAGACUCCUACGGGAGGCAGCAGUAAGGAAUAUUGCGCAAUGGGCGAAAGCCUGACGCAGCGACGCCGCGUGGGGGAUGAAGGUCUUCGGAUUGUAAACCCCUUUCGGGAGGGACGAUGGAGCGAGCAAUCGUUCGGACGGUACCUCCAGAAGCAGCCACGGCCAACUUCGUGCCAGCAGCCGCGGUAAUACGAAGGUGGCAAGCGUUGUUCGGAUUCACUGGGCGUACAGGGUGUGUAGGCGGUUUGGUAAGCCUUCUGUUAAAGCUUCGGGCCCAACCCGGAAAGCGCAGAGGGUACUGCCAGGCUAGAGGGUGGGAGAGGAGCGCGGAAUUCCCGGUGUAGCGGUGAAAUGCGUAGAGAUCGGGAGGAAGGCCGGUGGCGAAGCGGCGCUCUGGAACAUACCUGACGCUGAGACACGAAAGCGUGGGGAGCAAACAGGAUUAGAUACCCUGGUAGUCCACGCCCUAAACUAUGGAUACUAAGUGUCGGCGGGUUACCGCCGGUGCCGCAGCUAACGCAUUAAGUAUCCCGCCUGGGAAGUACGGCGCAAGGUUGAAACUCAAAGGAAUUGACGGGGGCCGCACAGCGGUGGAGCAUGUGUUUAUUCGACGCAACGCGAAGAACCUUACCCAGGUUGACAUGC